rnacentral:rRNA from 1 species
AUUGAACGCUGGCGGCAGGCCUAAUACAUGCAAGUAGGACGCAGUUGCGAACGGGUGAGUAACGCGUAGGUAACUGCCUAUUAGAGGGGGAUAACUAUUGGAAACGAUAGCUAAUACCGCAUACUAGUAGAUGGACCUGCGUUGUUUUAGCUAGUAGGUAGGGUAAUGGCCUACCUAGGCAACGAUACAUAGCCGACCUGAGAGGGGGAUCGGCCACAAGUGGACUGAGAAACGGCCCAGACUCCUACGGGAGGCAGCAGUAGGGAUUCUUCGGCAAGGGGGGGAACCCUGACCGAGCAACGCCGCGUGAGUGAAGAAGGUGUUCGGAUCGUAAAGCUCUGUUGUUAAGGAAGCGGUACUUAACCAGAAAGGGACGGCUAACUACGUGCCAGCAGCCGCGGUAAUUC